CUGUUUGGAUGUCACAAAACUGGCUCUCCUUUAUCUGCUCAUCUCUGCGGUGUGUGCUUUUGUGCUCUCCAGCCAUCUCACCUUCAACAUUAGAUCUAAAUGUUUUGAUUUCUGAGGCGGUGUUUUCCCAUGAGGGAUAUCUUCAAGAGAUCCGGUGCCUGGACCGAGUGGGAUAAGAUGAUAAAAUGAGCUUGAAACCAUGGCAAAGUUAAGCACAAGCUUCAGCGCUUUUCUGAAUUGGACUCACGUUGAGAUCCAACAGUCAAUGUUUUUCCAGACUUCCUGAUUCCUGCUUUGCAAGAGAACUGAAAGUCAAUGGAAAGAGUUUACAGAAAGUGCAGCUUUAAGUGUUUUCAGGAAUGUUUUGUAGCCACAUUUCUUCUGUAGUCCAAGCUAAUCUGAGUAAGGGCUGAGAAAUUCAAACAUGUGCUGUGCACUGUAUCUUGUGUUUCUGUAGUUGAGCAAAUGGUCAUCCUGCUGAUCUGCAGAUUACUUUGCAAUUCUGCAAAAACAAAGCCUGUGACAUUUACAUCUCCAGGAAAAUUUAUGCAUUGGCCUUUGAAUGCUAUUCAACAGCACAAAUACUUAUGUUUAAUUUAACUUACCAACUUAUUAAUCAGAAAUCACAUUAUUUGAGAAUAAUCAACUGCAUCUAUCCUCAUUUUGGACCGGGAUAGAUAGAUAUUGCAGAGCAAUACUGCACCCAAUUAGUUAUUGUUUUGUUAAAAGCCUUGUCAGCAAACUCCUUGUUGGCGAGUAAGCCAUGCUUCUCUGGCGUUGACGUGUCAGAAGGGGACUGCACUCCUUGACUCCUUGAUAGUCAUUCCUGCAGGUUAUUACUGCACAAAGCAACUGCUGGCUUCUAGAAGUCUUUU